rnacentral:rRNA from 1 species
GACGAACGCUGGCGGCGUGCCUAACACAUGCAAGUCGAACGAAACUUCUUUAAAGGAUUUCUUCGGAAUGAAUUUGAUUAAGUUUAGUGGCGGACGGGUGAGUAACGCGUGAGUAACCUGCCUCUAAGAGGGGAAUAACAUUCUGAAAAGAAUGCUAAUACCGCAUAACAUAUAUUUAUCGCAUGGUAGAUAUAUCAAAGAUUUAUCGCUUAGAGAUGGACUCGCGUCCGAUUAGUUAGUUGGUGAGGUAACGGCUCACCAAGACCGCGAUCGGUAGCCGGACUGAGAGGUUGAACGGCCACAUUGGGACUGAGACACGGCCCAGACUCCUACGGGAGGCAGCAGUGGGGGAUAUUGCGCAAUGGGGGAAACCCUGACGCAGCAACGCCGCGUGAAGGAUGAAGGUCUUCGGAUUGUAAACUUCUUUUAUUAAGGACGAAGAAAGUGACGGUACUUAAUGAAUAAGCUCCGGCUAAC